GAUGAAGAACGCAUCGAAAUGCGAUAAGUAGUGUGAAUUGCAGAAUUCCGUGAAUCAUCGAAUCUUUGAACGCACAUUGCGCCUCCUGGUAGUCCGGGAGGCAUGCCUGUUCGAGCGUCACCAAAUCCAACUCAAGCGGUUUUGCGCUUGGUCGUGGCGGAAGAGUCGGUCUGGUUGCCGUCUCCCCUCCGAAAAUCAACGGCGGAAAGUCACUGGCAGUCAGCGUAGUAGUAUCGUUCGCCGAACAUCCAGUGGCAUUCCUGCCGACGUACCCCCACAAUUCUCGUGAUUGACCUCGGAUCAGGUAGGGAUACCCGCUGAACUUAAGCAUAUCAAUAAGCGGAGGA
rnacentral:misc_RNA from 1 species